rnacentral:misc_RNA from 1 species
UACGUAGGUGGCAAGCGUUGUCCGGAAUUAUUGGGCGUAAAGCGCGCGCAGGCGGUCUUUUAAGUCUGAUGUGAAAGCCCACGGCUCAACCGUGGCGGGUCAUUGGAAACUGGAGGACUUGAGUGCAGAAGAGGAAAGUGGAAUUCCACGUGCAGCGGUGAAAUGCGUAGAGAUGUGGAGGAACACCCGUGGCGAAGGCGACUUUCUGGUCUGUAACUGACGCUUAGGCGCGAAAGCGUGGGGAGCAAACAGG